AACGAACGCUGGCGGCAGGCCUAACACAUGCAAGUCGAGCGAGGACUUCGGUCCUAGCGGCGGACGGGUGAGUAACGCGUGGGAACGUGCCCUUUGCUUCGGAAUAGCCCUGGGAAACUGGGAGUAAUACCGGAUGAGCCCUUUGGGGGAAAGAUUUAUCGGCGAAGGAUCGGCCCGCGUUGGAUUAGGUAGUUGGUGGGGUAAUGGCCUACCAAGCCGACGAUCCAUAGCUGGUUUGAGAGGAUGAUCAGCCACACUGGGACUGAGACACGGCCCAGACGCAGAGGGGAGGGGGGAAGAGGGAGACGUACGGGAGGGGGGGAGAACGGAGCAGAACGGGCGGAGGGAGGAAGGAGGGCGUUAGGGUUGUAAAGAGCGAUAAUAGGGGAAGAAAAUGACGGCACGAGCAGAGGAGGCACCGGGUGGCUAGGGGGGAGAAGCGAGGGGAAGAAUCAAAAAGCCCGCGUGUAAGC
rnacentral:rRNA from 1 species